AAUUCGAAAGCAGUCCAUUUAUUGUUCGUCUAAUAAUCCGAAUAUUUUAAUUUCCGAUGUUCAAUUGAACUCAAGUUCCGUCCCAGUGCUGUACAUCCGCGGCUACGUAUUUUUGUGUUUCGUGAGCUUUUGACAUGUUGAAGAAAUUAGUUUUUUAAUCUUUUGCCAUAUUUUAAUAUUGACAGAUUCGUUGAUAUACAUAUUAUAUUGAAAUCCGGCAGAAAAGAAAUCUGCCUGCUACAUCAAUUUGCUUCUCCAUGGCAAAGGUUUUCCGGCACGCGAUUCUCGUUGCUCACUCGUUCUGUUCUGAUGGUAAUGCAGAGUUUCUGAAAGGUCAACCGGAUACAAAUGAUGCUGAAGCUGAUCCGAAAGCUUAUACUGGAAUGGAAGUGAAAAAAACAAAGCAGACGGCAGCGCAUCAGCCCCGAUUCAAACAUCAACAAUUUAUCCAAGCGACUUGCUGGCAUGGAUGCGGAACAAGAACGAGCUCCCCUAGGCCAACGUCAAAUGUAGGAUUGUGUUUCGUUGGGAAUCAUUCUGGAUUUGUGAACCGUCAAAGAUUUCCAUUGGAAUCCUUCGCCCUCGCCUUCGCCGUUAUUUUGGUUGAUGAUUCACCACAACGUAAAGCCAACAGCUUUCUGGACAAACUCGUCGUUAAAAAACACUUCAACUGCGGCAUUAAUGUUUCAAAUUGGCUCUCUUGCACGGUGUAAUACGGAAAUCAGGAGGUGGCAGAAGCAUCCCUACUUAAGACUAUUCCGUGAUGUCAAAUUCAACGUGUAUUCGACGAGUCAGUGAUGGCAUCGGUUUGGAAAACAUAGGUUCAGCGUGCGACGAUGUAAAAAAACUCGAGAUGCAGCAGGAGCAAAUCAUCAUUAGCAAGACCAAACAGUUUGCGGACCAGGCCCAUCAGUAGCAAUCAAUUGCAUCGCUUCUAAACCGAGAUUUUCGGGCCCGCAACCGGCGUUGGGUCAGCCGGAGCCGAUGAGGAUGCCGAAGGUAAUGGCAACGGUACGUAGAGAAAAUUUCCUAGAUUCAGGCGAUCCGAAGGCGUUUCAAUCGGAAAUUGUAUUCGAGUCAUUAGCCGGCAUUUACGGCGGAGGAUCGAUCGGAUCACUGCAUAAGAAAUGUUAUUCGAGAGAGUACAAGUCUACAGUGACGUCGUACGAAGCCCGGGGAAGCUCUCAUCAAAUGCACUAAGCAAAGGUGAUCAAACAAUACUAGAAAAGUUUGGCGGAUUAGGAGGCUUCGUAGGCGAUCCAGUUCCGUUCUUGGAAAGGCUUGAAACUUCCGGUGAGUUGAAUUCAAAAUUGUGCAAAAAUAAGGACAAAAAUGAGCGAUUAAUUUUAUUUUGUUUUUGUUUUUUUUUUGCGGCUCUGUCCCAGUGCGGGGAUGUAAUGCCAAUAAGAAGAAGAAGAAGAAGGGAUUUAAAACAAAACCCUUCAGGAAUUCCGAAUGAAAUUAUAAAGGAACCCUUUUAGAAUUGCCAAAUCUAGACAUUCGUAAGGGAAUUUAUUAAGGAAUCCUUUAGGGUUUCCGAAGUAAAUCCUUUAGGGAUUCCAAAGAGGAUCCUUUUGGGAAUGGGAAAAUAAUUCCUUAAGGAUUCCAAAAAUUAUCCUAUAGGGAUUUGAAGAAAAAUCCUGUAGGCUUUCCCAACGAAUUCCUUAAGGUAUUCCCAAUCCUUUUGAGAUUACGACGGGAAGUUCUUGAGGAUUCAGACACAAAUUCUUUCAGAAUUCCGACGAGAAGGAUUUAGUUAUUCUGAACAUUGUUUAGGGAUUCUAACGAGAAUCCUUUUGGGAUUCUGAUGGGAAUCCUUCAGGUUUUCUGACGCGAAUCGUGUAAAGAUUUCAACGGAAAUCCUGUAGAGAUUCCGAUAAGAAUUUUUGUAGGGAUUUUGACGGGAAUCUUCAAGGAUUUCUUACUAUAAUGCUUUAGGAAUUCAGAUGAGAAUCCUUUAGCGAUUCAAAGGAGAGUCCUCCAGAGAUUCCGAUGGAAAUCAUAUAGAGUUCGACAAGAAUACUUUUGGAAUUGCAAAAAAGGAUUCUUUAAAGAUUCGAAAAAAAGCGUUUAAGAAUUCUGAAGGGAAACAUAAAGGAACCCUUCGAAAAUUCCCAAAAAAAAAUCUUUAGGUGUUCCCAAAGUAUUCCUUUAGGUAUUCCUAAUGGAAUUCAUUACGGAUUCCGAUUUCGAAGUAAAUCCCUUAGGCAUUCCUGAUGUAGGCUUUGUUAACAGAUUCCGGAUGGUAUUCCCAAUCUCUUUUGGGAUAACAACGGAAUCCUUUUGAGAUUAUGACGGGAAUUCUAAAGGCAUUCCGGCUGGAAUAUUUUAUAGAUUUCGAAGCGAAUCCUCUAGGGAUUCGGACGGGAGUUCUUUAGGUAUUUCGACGAAAAUCCUCUAGGGAUUCCGAUAGUAAUCCUUUUAGAAUUACGACGGGAAUUCUUUAGGGAUUCAGACAACAAUCCUUUAGGAAUACCGACAAGAAUACAUACUUUAGUUAUUCCAAAGAAAAUCCUUUAGGGACUCCGACGGGAAUCCUUUAGGGUUUCCGACAAGAAUGCUUCGAAGAUUCAGAUGAAAAUCCUUUAGUGAUAUCGACGAGAAUCUUCCAGAGAUUUCGGCGGAAAUUAUUUAGAAAUUUUGACAGAAUUCCUUUAGGGAUUGCGGCAUGAAUCCUUCAAGGAUUCAGACGUGAAACCUUUUGAGAUUCCAACAUGAACCUUCUAGAAUCUCAAAAGAACCCUUUUAGAAAGGAAUUCUUCAGGCUUUCCCUAGGAGUUCAUAAGAUAUUUUGAUUCCGAAGUAAAAGCUUAAGGGAUUUCAAACAUGAUUCUUUUGGGAAUGGAAGAACAAUCAUUUGGGAUUCCGAUAUGAAUCCUUUGGACACUCUAAAAUAAACCAUUACGUGAUUCUCUAGGGAUUCCAAAUCCGCAGUUUAAAAUUAGGUAUCCCAAAAGACUUCAAAAGAAUUUUGUUAGAAAUACCAAAAGGUGUCCGUUUGGAAUCCCAGAUGGAUUCUGUUCGGUUCUAUAGACAAACAGCUGAUCCUAAUUAUUUAAUUAACCAGCAUCGAAAAUGUGAGCUGCGAUAAAAAGUUCGUUGUCCUUACUGCGAUAUCGGUAACGAUGCUUUGCUUCAGUCAUCCAACACCAGAUUAGAGAGUCCACCAGCAGGUGUCCCUUUUGGCUAAAAUAAGAGCAAAUAUUGUAAUAAUAAUAAAAUAUAGCAUGUGGCAAUAGUUAAAUAUAGCAUUCGGAUCAAGCAACUUUCCGAAGAGAUCCACAAAGACUGACAAAGAAAUGAGAUUAGCUAAACAUUGUAUAAAUAUGUUGUUAUAUACUUGAAGUUAUCAGAAGUCAAAUUAAACCUCAACUAUGUACUCAACUAAAUGAUGAUAAUAAUAUGAAUAAAGUACUGAAACCUUAUUUCAUUCACCUAAACAACUUCGUUUUAUUAUUGAUAUAAAUCACGAAUAAAAAUACAUACUGAUAUUAUGAAAUUUCAUUAAACCAACUUAUGAAGUUUCAUUGAACCAACUUAUGAAAUUUCAUAAGGUUGCCUUAUGAAACUUGAAAGGUAAACAUAAGAUAAACAUAUAUGUUAAUUAUGAACCUAGUUCAUCCAAGGUUCAUGCUGGUUCAUAAGGCUGCCUUAGGAUUUUCAAACUGAUUCCUUGUGGCCAAUUUUCAUAAGGCAAACUAAUAAACUUCGGAAGGUAUUUUACGUGAGUGUAUACUUAGUAUACGAGAAAGGCAAAAAUAAGAUAUUUGACACUUCAAUUCUUUUUUUACUAUUAAAUACAAAGAACAAAACCAGUGACAACCUUAGACAACCAGACACAGCAUUCGUUGAAAAAAAUCACAGACAACAGACGUUGAAAAUUUUGUUUUUUUUUUAAAUGCGGAAAAGAAUAUAUCACUCUUAAAAAUUGAAAAAAAAAACACUUGCCACGGGCGCUAUUGCGUCCACUAAUAAACUAGUCUAUAUAUAUUUCACUAUCCACUCAAAUUUUGAGUGGUUCCACUUUUUCUCAAAAGUGAGUAAAAUUUCUGUUGGAAAAAAAGAGA